rnacentral:rRNA from 1 species
UAGGGAAUAUUGCACAAUGGGCGAAAGCCUGAUGCAGCAACGCCGCGUGUGUGAUGAAGGCCUUCGGGUCGUAAAGCACUUUUCUGGGAGAUGAGAAAGGACAGUAUCCCAGGAAUAAGUCUCGGCUAACUACGUGCCAGCAGCCGCGGUAAAACGUAGGAGGCAAGCGUUAUCCGGAUUCACUGGGCGUAAAGCGCGUGCAGGCGGUGCGGUAAGUUAGGCGUGAAAUCUCCCGGCUCAACUGGGAGAGGUCGUCUAAUACUACCGUACUAGAGAGCAGAAGAGGAAGAUGGAAUUCCCGGUGUAGUGGUGAAAUGCGUAGAUAUCGGGAGGAACACCAGUGGCGAAGGCGAUCUUCUGGUCUGUUUCUGACGCUCAGACGCGACAGCUAGGGUAGUAAACGG